CGCUUCGCAAGUAGACGCCGCCUCACGCUCCGGCUUUAUAUCUCACCGGACCGACUUUCAAGUGACCUUAAAAUAUGUGAUAGUUGUGAUGGAUACGCCGCAUAGAUUGAAGUCGUUCAAAACAUUUAUCACGUAUUUUUCCACGCGCAAUUUUUCUAAGUUUUAAUUAUCUCACUACUAAUAUAACCUAUUUGUUAAUCAAACGAAACGUGUAAGUUUUCACAUUUUAUAUAUUAAUAAUUUUUAUUCUUCAAAUUAAUAUAGUAUCUCUACUUACACCUGCACAAUGUAGAAAAAAUUCAAAAGAGUAAAAUACAACCUGCAGUGAGCAAAUUGCCUGCAUUACAACAAAUUGAUAGAUUUUCUCAAAUACAGUGGCAGAUUCAGAAAGUUGUUCUGGGGGAGGGGGACGGUAUGACAAAAUGUGAAUUUUUAAUUAUUAUUGUCGUUAACGUUAUUUUUAAUAUUUUUCAUGAUUUAAAAAAAAGAGUGAACAUUAUUUAGUCUCGAAUAAUCUCUGAUAAUUUUUUUUCUCAAUUCUGCUCAUUGUCAGACAUAGGUAUAUUGCAACAGAUUUGCCGACAAAACUGCCGAUAGUGCCGAUCCUUCUUUCUUUCUUUAGAAGGGAGGAGAAAGAUGCCUGGAAGAUGCUCUAAUUCCUUAAAACGAGCUAAGGCCCAAUAAAAACUGCCGGUAGUGUCUCGCACUAUAAUGUAUGUGUGAGACCAUCCUGUGUAUUUAUUCGCCACUAAGUACUCGCAAGCAUAUCUUGCGAGCCGGCGUCGCCGGUGAGUUGCGAGCGUCUAAAUCCAAGUUAUAUCUCUCAAUGGAAAUAUUUUACAUAAAGCUCGUCCACGCAACAAUCCUUGAGGAACUGGCCCGUACACACGUGAGUCUGUAGAAUUAUUUCUGUUGUCACCUUCCAACCAAACGUGUCCAUAAGUCUGUCAACGUUUCUGUAACUCAUGCAGCAUUAACCAAAGGAAUAAGAUACAUGCAAAGUAAUUCCCCAGGGACGAAAAACGUCAUCAAAAUGUCCUGAUA